UUGAUUUUUUUGCCUGCCUUUACAGCCAGUGAAAGCUGUGCUUUUUCUGGAUGUCAAAAGUCAAAAUCUUCCCAUGAGCUGGUGCAGUGGCUGUAGAUAGGCAUAGGAAAAAUCCUCUGGCACCUACAGAAUUUCAGGGGACAAGGGGUAGUCAGAUUCAGCACAAAUGAGAACAAAUAGUUUGUCUGAAAUAGUGAUGGCAAACUGGACCCAGGAACUGGACAUUUGUCUCACAGUCAUAUAUGGAUUAUUAACACUGUGUUUGAGUUUAAUUAGCGGCUUUUUCUGUCAGCUCUGUAAUGAAGAACCAUGAUUUCCACUUGCAGUUUCCUGUCUGGUGUAGGCUGCUGCAGAGAAAUAAGCAAAAUUAAAAUGUGCUAUGAUUUGACCUAGUAAGAAAUGGCACAAUUGACUACACAAAUAUCUGUACCAAGGCUGUUCCCUCUGUCCACUCUCAGCACCUACACAGAUACCAAUAUACUAUUUCCCACUUUUCUUUAGUUCAAGUUUUCAAGACUUGUUUUCCUUCUUUUGCUUAUUUAUAGGAGCAUAGGGUACCUUAAAAAAAGAAAAGAACAAACCAUGUUGUUUGUGUUGACUAAAUGACAGUCAUCAGUUAAGCAGAAUAUUUUAAAUAUGUUAUAUUAUCUGUUAAUUUUGGUUGCAGGUGCUGUAGUUGCAGUCAUUUCUGAAUUUCCUGAGGAUGCUUUCAGAAAACAAAAAAAAAGGAAAAGAUCCUCAGACACGAAGAAAUUCCAUUGGCAUUCAGAUCCCUGGAUGGCCACACUGGCUCAGCUGGACACAAAGCUGAUUUAUAAUGUGGAGAACUGUGUGAAAAGCAGCUGCUGUGAGAUGUCCUUCCUGUCCUGUUGGGAUGGCAGCAAGACAAUGCUGCACAAAAUUUGUUGUGUGCUGCUCCUUAACCAGCUUGCAGAGUGCAGUGGUGUGUUUUGGUCUAAACGUGCUAAAAUUAGCCAAGAUCUGGAGGUCUCCUGUGUCUGGAGUGUAGGAGGCUUGUGGAGAGGGCAAACUGAGGCUCAACCACUUCUUGAUAAAUGUGUGAUCCAGAAAUUUGGAUCUGUUUGAGUGACUGAGCAUCAUCAAAGCUCAGCUUUUGUCACUCCCUUUCCAAAAUGCCUUCCUCAUGCUCCCCUGUAUCACUCUUCUCUGCAUUA